GACGAACGCUGGCGGCGUGCUUAACACAUGCAAGUCGAACGGAAAGGCCCUGCUUUUGUUGGGUGCUCGAGUGGCGAACGGGUGAGUAACACGUGAGUAACCUGCCCUUGACUUUGGGAUAACUUCAGGAAACUGGGGCUAAUACCGGAUAGGAGCUCCUGCUGCAUGGUGGGGGUUGGAAAGUUUCGGCGGUUGGAGAUGGACUCGCGGCUUAUCCGCUUGUUGGUGGGGUAGUGGCUUACCAAGGCUUUGACGGGUAGCCGGCCUGAGAGGGUGACCGGCCACAUUGGGACUGAGAUACGGACCAGACUCCUACGGGAGGCAGCAGUGGGGAAUAUUGCACAAUGGGCGGAAGCCUGAUGCAGAAACGCCGCGUGCGGGAUGACGGCCUUCGGGUUGUAAACCGCUUUCGCCUGUGACGAAGCGUGAGUGACGGUAAUGGGUAAAGAAGCACCGGCUAACUACGUG
rnacentral:rRNA from 1 species